UACGUAGGGUGCGAGCGUUGUCCGGAUUCAUUGGGCGUAAAGGGUGCGUAGGCGGCUUCCUAAGUUUGAUGUGAAAUCCUGGAGCUCAACCCUGGAACUGCAUUGAAUACUGGGAGGCUAGAGUACUGGAGAGGAAACUGGAAUUUACGGUGUAGCAGUGAAAUGCGUAGAGAUCGUAAGGAAGACCAGUGGCGAAGGCGAGUUUCUGGACAGUUACUGACGCUGAGGCACGAAGGCCAGGGGAGCAAACGGG
rnacentral:rRNA from 1 species